rnacentral:rRNA from 1 species
AUUGAACGCUGGCGGCGUGCUUAACACAUGCAAGUCGAUCGGUAACGCGGGGGCAACCCUGGCGACGAGAGGCGGACGGGUGAGGAACGCUUGGGAAUCUGCCUAUCAGCGGGGGACAACCCGGGGAAGCUCGGGCUAAUACCGCAUACGCGCUACGUAGGAAAGCCGGGGACCGCAAGGCCUGGCACUGAUAGAUGAGCCCAAGUCGGAUUAGCUAGUUGGCGGGGUAACGGCCCACCAAGGCGACGAUCCGUAGCUGGUCUGAGCGGACGAUCCGCCACACUGGGACUGAGACACGGCCCAGACUCCUACGGGAGGCAGCAGUGGGGAAUUUUGGACAAUGGGCGCGAGCCUGAUCCAGCCAUGCCGCGUGAGUGAAGAAGGCCUUCGGGUUGUAAAGCUCUUUCGGCCGGGAAGAAAUCGCAUCAGCUAAUACCUGGUGUGGAUGACGGUACCGGAAUAAGAAGCACCGGCUAACUACGUGCCAGCAGCCGCCGUAAAAC